rnacentral:rRNA from 1 species
AACGUGAGCAACCUGCCUUUCAGGAGGGGAUAACAGUUGGAACGACUGCUAAUACCGCAUAACGCUGCGAUGGGGCAUCCCGAUGCAGCCAAAGGAGCAAUCCGCUGGAAGAUGGGCUCGCGGCCGAUUAGCUAGUUGGUGGGGCAACGGCCCACCAAGGCGACGAUCGGUAGCCGGACUGAGAGGUUGAUCGGCCACAUUGGGACUGAGACACGGCCCAGACUCCUACGGGAGGCAGCAG